rnacentral:piRNA from 1 species
GACAGAUGCCUGAGGAAAUUCAAGUGUGAGC